UACGUAGGAGGCGAGCGUUGUCCGGAUUUACUGGGCGUAAAGAGCGUGUAGGUGGUGGCGUUAGUCUGCCGUGAAAGCGCCUGGCUUAACCAGGCGAGGUCGGUGGAUACUGCGCGACUUGAGGACGGUAGAGGGGGGUGGAAUUCCCGGUGUAGUGGUGAAAUGCGUAGAUAUCGGGAGGAACACCAGUGGCGAAGGCGGCCCCCUGGGCCGCUCCUGACGCUGAGACGCGAAGGCCAGGGUAGCGAACGGG
rnacentral:rRNA from 1 species